CACAAUAAGUAAAAGUAGCUGUAAGAUGAAUUGUAAUUGAGUUUAAAGGUUUAGAAAAAUCAAAAAGGAUACAAAUUCAUUUAAAAAAAUAAAGAGAAAAAAGAAAUGUGAAAAUAAAAAUUCAGGAUUAGAUGAUGUCGUGAUUAAUGGUUGACCGUGUACACCCCCGUCCUGUUCUUCAUGGCUUUGUUCAUUUCUUCCUGUAAGACAUUAUCACAUAAUCAAAAACACCCAAAGAUAAGAACAUAAGUAAGAUAAGCGAUAACUUAAUAUAUAUGAACAAUAGGAUAAUAGUUACGUGUACAUUUAGUAGUGAAGAUAUUAACAUCAAAUAUUGCAAAUAACUAAAGUAAAAAAUGAAACUGGAAUUUCUGCAUUAAUGAACUUUUCCUGCUUUUUUCACUUACUAUAUUACUAUAUUAAGAAAGAUAUCUAUUUUCUAUGACUACCUAAAUGAUUACUCUGUUAACUUUAUUAUAUCUUCUUCAUUCCUCCAAACAGUAAGAACAUUCAGGUUCUUCAUGAGUUUCAAAGGUUCACUGCAGAUAUAAAUGGUUAAAAAAACAUGGAUGAUAUUCUGCUUAUUUCUUUUUAGCGAUCCAAAAUCUGCCCUACCUGAAGGUCUCAGGACAGGGUUUGUGAAGGAUUCCACUAAAAGACGCGAUUCAGACUUUAGUGAAGGAAAAGUUGAGUAAUUAAAUUUGCUUAAAAAAAUUGAAGAGAAAAUAGAUUCAAGAUUAAUAAAGAUUUGUUUUUUUCAAAACAUAUUUAAACCUUCCUUUAACGUUACUAAAAUUGUAGCCUAUUUAUUCAAUAUAAUGUAAUUAAUAAUAACUAAUACUUGUUGGUUGUUCUAUCACCCCCCACGUUUCCUGAGUAAAUGUUGACCGUGACGCAUUGAAAAUACACAGGUGAAUAAUGACUUCUAUUAAGUCAACACACACACGCCCAGAGACAGAUUUGCUCAGUUUGACUGCACGACUCACAUAGUCACAGCCAACGCACUCUGUCCUGUCUCUGUGUGACGUGUCCAUUGCGGACAUUAACCUUGCUGUGUAUCUUUGUGGGGACAUUGUGAUGUAUUUUGAGAGGUCCGUAUCUUGAGACGCUUGACUCACAUAGUUCCUCUUGUCGGGCACGUCAAAGCGGGUGUGCGUGGUGUACAGGGGGACGCCGUCGUUGUUACUCAGGCUGUUGUAGGGACUGAAGUGGUUGUUUCGCCCUCUGAAGCAGCAGAGCCACACCAGCUGCAGAAGACAAGCACAUUGAACCCUGUGAAAGACUCUCAGCUUGUGUGACGGAGAUCGUCCUGCUUCUCCCCCAUGCGUUCUAGUUCUUCAUAUACACCCACGUCAGCCCCAAGCACAGAUUUUACAAUGGUUUCGUUCUCCAAGAUUGCUUUGUUAACUUUGUUAACUUCAGAGAGAAAAAAAUGUUCGCCAAUGUCAACAAGUAACCGAUUAUGUUUUUUCAGCCCGACUCACCAGUGCGACAAUCAGUAAGAGCAGCGCCAGCAGAACCAGUGCCGCCAGGACCAGCAGAGCAAUUCCCCAACCGGGUACCCCAACUCCACCACUGGCCGGGGACGGGUCGAGGGUCGUGCUCUGAGAUGUGUUUGGUCUAUCUGGGGAAACGGAGACAGGCGAGCCGCUGACUGUGGCACUGGAACUGGAGAGGGUGGUGUUGGUAUCAGUAGCGUUGGAUCCGGGUGUAGUUGCUGCGGGUAUACUGGUGGUGUUGGUAUCAGUAACGUUGGAUCCGGGUGUAGUUGCUGCGGGUAUACUGGUGGUGUUGGUAUCACUAACGUUGGAUCCGGGUGUAGUUGCUGCGGGUAUACUGGUGGUGUUGGUAUCAGUAACGUUGGAUCCGGGUGUAGUUGCUGCGGGUAUACUGGUGGUGUUGGUAUCAGUAGCGUUGGAUCCGGGUGUAGUUGCUGCGGGUAUACUGGUGGUGUUGGUAUCAGUAGCGUUGGAUCCAGGUGUUGUUGCUGCGGUUAUACUGGUGGUGUUGGUAUCAGUAGCGUUGGAUCCAGCUGUUGUUGCUGCGGGUAUACUGGUGGUGUUGGUAUCAGUAGCGUUGGAUCCAGCUGUUGUUGCUGCGGUUAUACUGGUGGUGUUGGUAUCAGUAGCGUUGGAUCCAGCUGUUGCUGCUGCGGGUAUACUGGUGGUGUUGGUAUCAGUAGCGUUGGAUCCAGAUGUUGCUGCUGUAGCAAAAAAGAACAAAAGCAAACAAACAUUUAACAAAAGUGAUUCACAAAUGUUUCGUCUAUAACAGGAUAUGUUUCAUCACUCUGAAUAACACCAGACGUCAUUAAACACUGUUAUAACUUUCAUUAAUGACUCAACUAUCAGUAUUCAUCGUCGAAUGGUUCACUAAAAUAUUACUUUUUUCAACAUCUGCCUGCAGAAGCAGGCAGAUGUUGAGCAAACAAAAUAAUAACAAAGAGGAACUAAGGCUAAAGUACGGGAAUAAGAACAUUUAGCACAUUGUUUUUUCUUUAGCAAAAGAAUGACUACAGUCAUCACAUUUUAAAAUCCAGACUCAGUAACAAAAGCACAAUAUAUUUACAUAUACCACUUUAAACUAACAACCUACCUGAGGCGGCGAAAGCUAGAGCCAUCCAGAGUGCGAACCGUGCCUCCAUCUUUCUGCAGAAAAUCCCAAAACAGUUUGUGACAAAGAUCUCACUGUGAGCGACUGGUGGAGUCUGUUUCCAUCCAGAGAAAGAGUCCUUUAUACACUGCCCCACCUGCACACAGGUGAAGACGGGGGAGGAGCCUGGCACACUCCCAUAAUGACGAGCCAAACCACUCUUAGUCACAGUGUAACUAGUGAGGACUGUGUAGUCAUAUUUAUGUUAAUAUUUGUAUCAUAUAUGUAUGUAAUACUUUCCUGACACACGGAUCUGAGCCAGCCACAUGUUUCUGUUGUAUCUAGAUGAUGUUAGAACGCUACCAGUCAAGCUGGAACAAACGGGUGGAAGCCACCAAUGCCUCACUGUGAUUGGAUGAGAGACACCUGUCUGUCAAAGGCACGUUGGUGGUGGUGGUGUUAUGUGGUUAGCACGGUGGUGGUGUUAGGUGGUUAGCACGGUGGUGGUUUUAUGUUGUUAGCAUGGUGGUGGUGUUAUGUUGUUAGCAUGGUGGUGGUGUUAGGUGGUUAGCACGGUGGUGGUGUUAUGUUGUUAGCAUGGUGGUGGUGUUAGGUGGUUAUGACGGUGGUGGUGUUAUGUUGUUAGCAUGGUGGUGGUGUUAGGUGGUUAGCACGGUGGUGGUGUUAUGUUGUUAGCAUGGUGGUGGUGUUAGGUGGUUAGCACGGUGGUGGUGUUAUGUUCUUAGCAUGGUGGUGGUGUUAUGUUGUUAGCAUGGUGGUGGUGUUAGGUGGUUAGGACGGUGGUGGUGUUAUGUUGUUAGCAUGGUGGUGGUGUUAGUUGGUUAUGACGGUGGUGGUGUUAUGUUGUUAGCAUGGUGGUGGUGUUAGGUGGUUAGCACGGUGGUGGUGUUAUGUUGUUAGCAUGGUGGUGGUGUUAGUUGGUUAUGACGGUGGUGGUGUUAUGUUGUUAGCAUGGUGGUGGUGUUAGGUGGUUAGCACGGUGGUGGUGUCGCUGCGAGCCUGUGAAUUUCCCCAUUGUGGAACUAAUAAAGGAAUAUCUUAUAUUAUCUCUCAGAUGAUGGUGUUAAAGCCGAUCAAAUAUCACAUUAUGCUAUGUCAUAAAAAAAGUUAGUGUCAAAAAAAUGCUAAUGUAGUACAGAAAAACUAUAGUGUCAAAAAAAGCGCAUAGCAUCAAAAACAAAGUAAUUCAAUAAAAGUCCUAAUAUAUAUAGUAUGCCAAAAAAUGUGAUAGAGAUAAUUAGAUUAAAUUAUGUGAAUAUAUGUCAUGAAAAAAUACAAAAUGUUAUGUCAAAAAAUAUAAUGAUAGUCAUGAUGUAUUAUGUUGAAAAUGUGACAUAAAAUCAAAAGUACCAAUACUUUACAAUAGUAAAUUAUUUUCUUUAUUGAUUAACACAGAUUUGAUUUCUUCACAUGUCACAAGAGGAAAGGAUGAUGACAAUAAUGUCCCUGGUUUAGUUGUAGGCAUCUUUCUCAGUCUGUGAUUGGCUGGAUGGUAGAGCCAAUGGGAGCUCAGGGACCACAAGCUGGACAGGCUCCGCCCCCGAUAUACCUAGGUCAGGAAACAGGAACAUUUAUUUCCAUAAUAUGUUAGACAUACAAGGAAUUUGACUUGGCAGUUGGGGCAUAACAUCAUAAAGUAAGACAAUGGACAACAAGAGAGGUAAGACGAAAAAAUGACUUGAACAGGCAAGCUAACUAAUUAAGUGAAACUCAUAUUUAGGCACUAACAAAACAGCAAUAAAAGAAAUAAAACUUGCUAGCCCAUGUUAGUCAAUUAGUUCAGAGAACUAUUCCUCUGCUCACCGCUCAGACUGGUUCCCAGUUGGCUCCAUAAAGAGCAGGAGCUCUGACUCAGCCCCUGACGCUGUUGGAGGGCGGAGCCUAUCUGCAGAUAGUGGGGCGGGGCCUGAAGAGGACAGCCCCGGCUGCCAGCGGAGCAAAACUGACUCCCGCCCACACACGUGACGGGAUUUGGGUUCCUGAGGAACAUAAAACAGAUAAAAAAUAUACUUAUUAUCCAACAACGGUUGUCCUGAUCAAUCAAUUGUUAAUCUAAAGAGUUAAUCCAAUGAGGAGUAAGAUAACGAGUGUUAAUAGUUCAAUUUAAAUAAACAUAUCAUUAAUCCUUAAAGGACUUUUGAGCUAAUGAGAGUUGAUCUAAGAGGAGUUAGUCUAAUGAAAUUUGAUCAAUCAAUCUUUGAUCAAACAGGAGGAGCGUUGAUCUGACCCGCUCUUGAUGAAGCUGGAGACGUAGGUCAUCAUGGCCAGAGAGAGGCGUCGGUCAGAGGAGGUGAAACGCUGCGAGCUCAUUGGAUGAUGAGGCGUCCCGAACACCAACUGAACAUCCAGAGGAACAGACGCAUCGGCCCUGCGCGCAAGAAACAGCCGAUCAAUAUCUUUCAUGGGCCCUGAUUGGCUCAGUGGCAGAGAGUCGAAGGGAAGCUACGGUUGUAAAGAAAACACAGUGACCAGGUGAAGGGGCCUGGUACGCUAACGCUAUCAAACUAGCUAAACCACUUGCUAGCGUUGGCAUUAGUGUGUCCGCUGUCAGUACCUGUUGUGAGAGCUGGUGGCAGGUUGGUGGUACAGGAAGACGUUAGCUUUGCUGUUAGCCCAGUGGCUAGCCAUCUGCAGACUGGGACAGAUGAUAAACAGAUCUCUGCAAAGCAAACAAACAAACAAACAGUCAUUCAGAGAACCAAAUCUCUGUGUUUACUCAAAGUUGUCGCCAGGUGUCUGGAGGGACGGACAGACAGAUAUAGAAACUGUAUUGCACGAGUUAGCCGUUAGCUUGUUGUGUUAGCUGCUUGCUCUUUUUGGACGCUGAAGGCCUCGUUGUCUGACCUGGUAGCGUUGUCGAGCGCCCUGGAGAACCGGUUGUACCCAGCAGGCGAGGCGCCGUGAUCCAGAGAGUAGAAUCCAGGCCGCCACCUCCUUCAGCGGGUCACUUCCUGUCACGCCGCCCAGCGAGCGGCUCAGGGCCUCGUAGAACGCCGUCUUACCGUCGGCUCGACCCCGAAGGGCCUCGAAGUCCUGGAGACAGAGAAGGUCUCUGAUUAGACUGAUGUACGUAGGAAUUCUCUAAUCGUUUGACGUUAUGUGCUGAAAUAUCUCCAUCGCUCUCUAUAAUAAAGAUUGUGAAAGCCUGAAUGAUUUUAACACGUUUUAAUCAUAGAAGAGUCCGUUGACUGAUUAACCUUUUGAACGUCUCCUUAUUUGCCCACAUGACGCAUGUGUCCAUCCUGUCAUCUCAGUGACGGCCCCUAUGACGGCGUUUGAGCUGGUUUUUGUGUGACCUCUGACCUUUAUCUUGCGAGCGCGGCCGAUCAGACCGUCGUGUUGCGACGACCCCAGCAGGAGGUCGACCCCGUGGAGGGAGGGCCGGGACGAGGACGGACGGGCCGGAGCCCAGGACUGGAAGGGGCCGCUGACCGCCAACAGCUGCAUCAACAACAACGCAUCAACAGAACAAACGAUGUCAUGAGAUCAGCUGGUGAACGACGAACGGCAGAAAAUAAUACAAAUACUCAGAGGCAGGAGACACAUAACAAUGUAACACUGAUAUCAAGUAGAUUCUAUUGUUUUACGAUUUCUGUCAAAUAAAUGAGCAUUUUUAUUGAUUUAUGUCCAUAUAAGUGUGUUAUUCUGCACUUCUAGUUCUCUACUUCUCGUCAUCACAACUGUUUCCAUUGAGAUGAAGGAACGUUCGAGGGGUCGAUUCGUACUUUGGUCUGAGCGGCGUUCAGCGCGGACACAGGCGCCGCUCUGAGGCAGGCGGCCAUCUUAUCGUCAUCGCCGUCGGGGAGGUCAGAUGUCACGCAGCCGAGCUCUUUGGCCAGAUGCACCGCCCGGCGUCUGGAGGCGGAGGAAGUCUGGACCAGUGACGGAGAAAAGACAGAACCGCCCUGGAGAACCAACGACAGGACACUUAAAAUAUAUUAUUUAUAGUAUUAUAAUAUUAUACAUUAUAUUAUUAUACCUAAAUAUAUUUCCAUGUUGCAAGACAAGGAGUAAUACUAAGGGGGGAGAAGAGAGGAAGAGGAGCAGAUAGGAGAGGAGAUGGAGACAGUGAAGAUGAAGAAGGUUAGGAGGAGAUAGAAAAGGAGAAAGAUGACAAAGGAAGGUGAGGAGUAAAAGGAGGAAGAAUACCAUGAGAUAAGGGAGGAGGAGGAGAUAGAAGCGGAGGAGAUAAGGAAGGAGGAGGAGAUAAAGGAGGAGGAGGAGAUAGAAGCGGAGGAGAUAAGGAAGGAGGAGGAGAUAGAAGCGGAGGAGAUAAGGAAGGAGGAGGAGAUAAAGGAGGAGGAGGAGAUAGAAGCGGAGGAGAUAAGGAAGGAGGAGGAGAUAAAGGAGGAGGAGGAGAUAGAAGCGGAGGAGAUAAGGAAGGAGGAGGAGAUAGAAGCGGAGGAGAUAAAGGAGGAGGAGGAGAUAGAAGCGGAGGAGAUAAAGGAGGAGGAGGAGAUAGAAGCGGAGGAGAUAAAGGAUAGAAGCGGAGGAGGAGAUAGAAGCGGAGGAGAUAAAGGAGGAGGAGGAGAUAGAAGCGGAGGAGAUAAAGGAGGAGGAGGAGAUAGAAGCGGAGGAGAUAAAGGAGGAGGAGGAGAUAGAAGCGGAGGAGAUAAAGGAGGAGGAGAAGUUCUCACCAUCAGCAUCAUGCGCUGGAAUGGAGGAGGAGAGGGAGAUGAGAGGAGGUGAAGGCUGGUGACAUCAGCGCCUCCUCUCUCCGACCCGACUGUCACUGUCCUGUUGUCUCCGCCCACCAGAGAGAUGUGGGCGUUAACCCAACGGAGCACCGCCUCUUGGUCCGACAGCCCGUAGUUACCACGGAGACCAGACGAAACUUGCAGGACGCGUUAAAGUCAAUAACUGUGAUGUUGGGUGUUGUCAUAGUAACUGAUGUCCCGGUGUCUACCUGUGCUCAGGAAUCCCAGGGCUGCGGUUCUGUAGCUUGCCGUUACCACAACCACAUCACCCACAGCAGCAAGGGCGGAGCCAUCCAACAGGCCUGGGCUUUGAUUGGCCGAGGGGUUGAAGAAGAAAACCAGGACUGGGACACGCCCCCUCUGACAAAAAUAAGUACAAGCAUGAUGCAGAAUGGUAAAUAUUAUUGUGACCUUUAAGGAUCAGCUGGUGUUGUUGGACAAUAAACAUUACUUUGAUGACCUCAUAAUAGAUCUGAUCAUCAAUGUAAUUGUCAAAUCAAUUAGUAAUAUAAACAAUCCUCCUAAUCGAUUAGGAAUCAAUAAUAAGUUAUUGAUAGCAACAAGUUCUGACCAGAGAAGCAGGAGUGAAGAUGUUGAGGUAGAGACAGUCUUCACUGGAGGAAGGAGAGUCUUCAUCACCAGGCUGGAUACAACUAGGACUGAAGUACAAGUACACAGCAUCACCAGCAGAACGUACAUCGUCAUGUGUCUGUUGUGUCCUAAAGUCGAACAACAGCCUGUUAUUAUAGACGUUGACCCUGCACGUGGACCGUGAUGU
ensembl:lncRNA